UAGGGAAUCUUCGGCAAUGGGGGGAACCCUGACCGAGCAACGCCGCGUGAGUGAAGAAGGUUUUCGGAUCGUAAAGCUCUGUUGUUAAGGAAGAACGAGUGUGAGAAUGGAAAGUUCAUGCUGUGACGGUACUUAACCAGAAAGGGACGGCUAACUACGUGCCAGCAGCCGCGGUAAUACGUAGGUCCCGAGCGUUGUCCGGAUUUAUUGGGCGUAAAGCGAGCGCAGGCGGUUAGAAAAUUCUGAAGUGAAAGGCAGUGGCUCAACCAUUGUAGGCUUUGGAAACUGUUUAACGUGAGUGCAGAAGGGGAGAGUGGAAUUCCAUGUGUAGCGGUGAAAUGCGUAGAUAUAUGGAGGAACACCGGUGGCGAAAGCGGCUCUCUGGUCUGUAACUGACGCUGAGGCUCGAAAGCGUGGGGAGCGAACAGG
rnacentral:rRNA from 1 species